CUGUUGUGUUGAGGCGGAAAAGACAUGGUUCAUCUUCGUCUUCUUCUUAUCCUUCUCCGUAUUUUUAUCAGCAGAAUUUGGGGUAUGGAAGAUUUGCGUACGAUGAGUGUGAGUCUGAGUCGGAGUCUGAUCGUGAAACUCAGUCGUCUAAGCAAUUGGGUGAAUCAACCCUUCAUAACAUUGAAGAAUGGAGGUGGAAGUUAAGCAUGCUAAUGCGCAAAAAGGAUGACCAAGAAGUGGUCUCAACGGAUAAAAAGGAUCGACGUGAUUUUGAGCAUAUAUCAGCUAUGGCAACUAGAAUGGGUUUACACUGUCGCCAGUAUGAAAAAACAAUUGUGUGUAGCAAAGUUCCAUUGCCAAAUUAUAGGCCAGAUUUGGAUGUUAAGCGUCCACAAAGAGAGGUAGUAUUACAUUAUGGAUUACAAAGUAGGGUAGGUGAUCUUCUUGAAGCACAUCUUUCUAAAAAG
rnacentral:misc_RNA from 1 species